rnacentral:rRNA from 1 species
GACGAACGCUGGCGGCGUGCUUAACACAUGCAAGUCGUACGGUAAGGCCCUUUCGGGGGUACACGAGUGGCGAACGGGUGAGUAACACGUGAGUAACCUGCCCACAACUUUGGGAUAACGCUAGGAAACUGGUGCUAAUACUGGAUAUGUGCUCCUGCUGCAUGGUGGGGGUUGGAAAGCUCCGGCGGUUGUGGAUGGACUCGCGGCCUAUCAGCUUGUUGGUGGGGUAGUGGCCUACAAAGGCGGCGACGGGUAGCCGGCCUGAGAGGGUGACCGGCCACAUUGGGACUGAGAUACGGCCCAGACUCCUACGGGAGGCAGCAGUGGGGAAUAUUGCACAAUGGGCGCAAGCCUGAUGCAGCAACGCCGCGUGCGGGAUGACGGCCUUCGGGUUGUAAACCGCUUUCAGCAGGGACGAAGCUUUUUGUGACGGUACCUGCAGAAGAAGCACCGGCUAACUACGUG